rnacentral:rRNA from 1 species
AACGCGUGAAGGCCACUAAGCGUGAAGCCCCCCUCAAGAUGAGAUAUCCCAUCGCAAGAGUAAGACCCCUUGAAGACGACGAGGUAGAUAGGGCAGAGGUGGAAGCAUGGUAACAUGUGGAGCUGACUGUCACUAAUAGGUCGAGGGCUUAACCAG